UGUUCCUACGGGGCGCAGCAGUGGGGAAUAUUGGGCAAUGGGCGCAAGCCUGACCCAGCAACGCCGCGUGAAGGAAGAAGGCUUUCGGGUUGUAAACUUCUUUUGUCAGGGACGAAGCAAGUGACGGUACCUGACGAAUAAGCCACGGCUAACUACGUGCCAGCAGCCGCGGUAAUACGUAGGUGGCAAGCGUUAUCCGGAUUUACUGGGUGUAAAGGGCGUGUAGGCGGGGAAGCAAGUCAGAUGUGAAAACCACGGGCUCAACCUGUGGCCUGCAUUUGAAACUGUUUUUCU
rnacentral:rRNA from 1 species